rnacentral:rRNA from 1 species
GCCGGAAUUGCUAGUAAUGGCAGGUCAGCAUACUGCCGUGAAUACGUUCCCGGGCCUUGUACACACCGCCCGUCACACCAUGAGAGUUGGGAAUACCCGAAGCCUGUGAGCUAACUUUACGAGGCAGCAGUCGAAGGUAGAAUCAAUGAUUGGGGUGAAGUCGUAACAAGGUAAC